rnacentral:rRNA from 1 species
GUGGGGAAUCUUAGACAAUGGGGGCAACCCUGAUCUAGCCAUGCCGCGUGAGUGAUGAAGGCCUUAGGGUCGUAAAGCUCUUUCGCCGGGGAAGAUAAUGACUGUACCCGGUAAAGAAACCCCGGCUAACUCCGUGCCAGCAGCCGCGGUAAUACGGAGGGGGUUAGCGUUGUUCGGAAUUACUGGGCGUAAAGCGCGCGUAGGCGGAUCGGAAAGUUGGGGGUGAAAUCCCGGGACUCAACCCCGGAAUUGCCUUCAAAACUCCCGGUCUUGAGGUCGAGAGAGGUGAGUGGAAUUCCGAGUGUAGAGGUGAAAUUCGUAGAUAUUCGGAGGAACACCAGUGGCGAAGGCGGCUCACUGGCUCGAUACUGACGCUGAGGUGCGAAAGCGUGGGGAGCAAACAGGAUUAGAAACCCCAGUAGUCC